AUCCAGUUAACGAGUCCCAAAUAGGACGAAAUGCGCAUCCUGGAU
rfam:Trichobilharzia regenti genome assembly, scaffold: TRE_scaffold0025337